UGGGGAAUUUUGGACAAUGGGCGCGAGCCUGAUCCAGCCAUGCCGCGUGCGGGAAGAAGGCCUUCGGGUUGUAAACCGCUUUUGUCAGGGAAGAAAUCUUCUGAGUUAAUACCUCGGGAGGAUGACGGUACCUGAAGAAUAAGCACCGGCUAACUACGUGCCAGCAGCCGCGGUAAUACGUAGGGUGCAAGCGUUAAUCGGAAUUACUGGGCGUAAAGCGUGCGCAGGCGGUUUUGUAAGACAGAGGUGAAAUCCCCGGGCUCAACCUGGGAACUGCCUUUGUGACUGCAAGGCUUGAGUGCGGCAGAGGGGGAUGGAAUUCCGCGUGUAGCAGUGAAAUGCGUAGAUAUGCGGAGGAACACCGAUGGCGAAGGCAAUCCCCUGGGCCUGCACUGACGCUCAUGCACGAAAGCGUGGGGAGCAAACAGGAUUAGAUACCCUGGUAGUCCACGCCCUAAACGAUGUCAACUGGUUGUUGGGAAGGUUCCUUCUCAGUAACGUAGCUAACGCGUGAAGUUGACCGCCUGGGGAGUACGGCCGCAAGGUUG
rnacentral:rRNA from 1 species